GGUUAAGUUAGAAAGGGCGCACGGUGGAUGCCUUGGCACUAGGAGCCGAUGAAGGACGGGACGAACACCGAUAUGCUUCGGGGAGCUGUAAGCAAGCUUUGAUCCGGAGAUUUCCGAAUGGGGAAACCCACCACUCGUAAUGGAGUGGUAUCCAUAUCUGAAUUCAUAGGAUAUGAGAAGGCAGACCCGGGGAACUGAAACAUCUAAGUACCCGGAGGAAGAGAAAGCAAAUGCGAUUCCCUGAGUAGCGGCGAGCGAAACGGGAUUAGCCCAAACCAAGAGGCUUGCCUCUUGGGGUUGUAGGACACUCUGUACGGAGUUACAAAGGAACGAGGUAGAUGAAGAGGUCUGGAAAGGCCCGCCAUAGGAGGUAACAGCCCUGUAGUCAAAACUUCGUUCUCUCCUGAGUGGAUCCUGAGUACGGCGGAACACGUGAAAUUCCGUCGGAAUCCGG
rnacentral:rRNA from 1 species